rnacentral:rRNA from 1 species
AUUGAACGCUGGCGGCAGGCCUAACACAUGCAAGUCGAACGGUAACAGGAAGAAGCUUGCUUCUUUGCUGACGAGUGGCGGACGGGUGAGUAAUGUCUGGGAAACUGCCUGAUGGAGGGGGAUAACUACUGGAAACGGUAGCUAAUACCGCAUAACGUCGCAAGACCAAAGAGGGGGACCUUCGGGCCUCUUGCCAUCGGAUGUGCCCAGAUGGGAUUAGCUAGUAGGUGGGGUAACGGCUCACCUAGGCGACGAUCCCUAGCGGGUCUGAGAGGAUGACCAGCCACACUGGAACUGAGACACGGUCCAGACUCCUACGGGAGGCAGCAGUGGGGAAUAUUGCACAAUGGGCGCAAGCCUGAUGCAGCCAUGCCGCGUGUAUGAAGAAGGCCUUCGGGUUGUAAAGUACUUUCAGCGGGGAGGAAGGGAGUAAAGUUAAUACCUUUGCUCAUGGACGUUACCCGCAGAAGAAGCACCGGCUAACUCCGU